rnacentral:rRNA from 1 species
AGUGAACGCUGGCGGCGUGCCUAAUACAUGCAAGUCGAACGGAGUGGCGCACGGGUGAGUAAUGUAUAGCUAAUCUGCCCUACACUAGAGGACAACAGUUGGAAACGACUGCUAAUACUCUAUAGUGUAGGAUGAGGCUAUAUUGUAUCAGCUAGUUGGUGAGGUAAUGGCUCACCAAGGCUAUGACGCAUAACUGGUGUAAGGGGUUGAUCAGUCACAAGUGAACUGAGACACGGUGCAGACUCCUACGGGAGGAAGCAGUAGGGGAUAUUGCUCAGUGGGGGAAACCCUGAAGCAGCAACGGCGCGUGGAGGAUGACACUUAUCGGAGCGAAAACUCCUUUUGUUAGGGAAGCGGUACCUAAAGAAUAAGCACCGGCUAACUCCGUGCCAGCAGCCGCGGUAAUAG